UGAUGAAUGCGAGGAAGACACAUCUAAUUGUACUAAGUUUUCAAAGUGUAGAAACCUCAAUGGCGCUUAUGAAUGUCACUGUAAAGGUGGUUAUGAAAAAACAUCACAGGGAACUUGUAAAGAAAUUUGCAUCCCUGCUUGCGAUGCAAAUUCAUAUUGUAAAAGAGGAAAGUGUUUAUGUUUGAAUGGCUAUUCUCUCGGCCCAGACCUCACGUGUGAAUCAGGUUUUCUCCGAUCAUCAGGCGUGUUUCUUCGUUCUGGAGAAGUGUUACUCGUCAGAAUAGCAACAUUACCGUUCCUGGUCCUGCGACAUCUUUCAAAAUGAAUUUUUUUCUCUUUGUGUAUUAACUAUUUCUGUAUUGAGUGUAAAAGAAAAAAAUUCAGAAACUGAAACCAAAUCAUAACUAUGC